rnacentral:rRNA from 1 species
UACGGAGGGUGCAAACGUUGCUCGGAAUCAUUGGGCGUAAAGCGCACGUAGGUGGCCUGUUAAGUCGGGUGUGAAAUCCCUGGGCUCAACCCAGGAAGUGCACUCGAAACUGGCAGGCUUGAGUACUGAAGAGGGUCGCGGAAUUCCCGGUGUAGAGGUGAAAUUCGUAGAUAUCGGGAGGAACACCAGUGGCGAAGGCGGCGACCUGGGCAGAUACUGACACUGAGGAGCGAAAGCGUGGGGAGCGAACAGG